UAGAGUAUCAUUCAAAUAAACUACAAAUCUAUUUCCAUCUCUUCAUUUUUCCCAGGCAAAGAUGCAUUGAAAUGGAUGUGACUGAACAACAAAGGAAGACACAUUGCUUCUGUUCCUUCAAGUGACUGAAUUAAAUUAAAAUUAGAACAGUUCAAUGAGUUUUGUGGAGACUCUCAAAUAUCAGGUCAAUUUUUUUCUAUAAACAUUGUUGUUGAUUCUACAGUCCAUUCUGGUGAUCCUCAGAGCCAUAAAUCUCCGUGAGGUAGACAGAAAAUACAGAACCACCCCCAUGUGUCUUAUAUCUUUCUCAGCUUUACUUAGAACAAAAUG
rnacentral:lncRNA from 1 species